UGGAAAUGUGAAAGUUCUUCUCCUGUCCAUUAUUUAUGUCACCAAGCUUAGACUUCUGUGGAAGAUUUCUAUCUGCAGGCUUGGUUUUAUUCUGAAAUUGUAGCUCUGUCUCUCCUUUUUUCUCUAUUCAGGGUUCAUCUGGAGAUAUAAACUCUGUGACAAAAGGCAGAUAAGGAGACAAAAUAGAUAAUGACAAGAUAAGAGAAUAUAGAAAAAGAAGUUAUGCUGAAAUCUUUCAGGAAACAAGCACCUACUUUCUAGAGAUUUUAUGUGACAACUAGAGCUACUAAAGUUAUUAAUACAUAAAGAGGUUGUAGAAGUAUCACAAAGCAUCUUUAAGAGCAUAGGCUAUACAUUCUUUAAAUACAUGAAGGACCAUUGCAUAGUAAGGGAACACAAUAACAAAUAUUUUUCACUUUUCAUGUAAACGUUGGGAAGGGAGUUAACAGUGAAUAGUAAAUCGUGAACCAAAAAGGAAAGAGACAAUAGAUUAUUUCCAAAAACCCUAACAGAUUUUGAGCAAAGAUCUGAAGUAGAGCCAGGAUGAUUUACGCUACUGUAUGAUGUGAGAAAUCCUGCAUCUUUGGUUGUAUGUGGGGCCUAAGAUAGAGCCUACCAUAACCGAUAAGGUACAAGGGGUUUGAACGAUCUUCAGGACUUCUGGAUGAACACACCAGAGACCCAACAUGUCUGAAGUUUCUGAAUCCCACUGUAAGGUAUGUCAGAAACAGCAUAUAUCUUUGUGGAUCUCAAGUGGAUCUGUGUUCUAUGAAUUGACACCUCCUGUACCCCGACCAAAUGCCUAUGCCACAAAACUGUUGUUCUGUAUUGAUGUGCUAUCACUAUUUAUGCUAUCAGGACAUCCAUUAGUAAUCUGACAAGAGAAAUACAAAUACAGUUCAAUGAAAAUUCAAACUCAGCAGACCAUAUUGGUUUUGGACUGCCUUUGUACUAUCUUGUAUUAUGCAAACUGAAGUCUGUUCAGAGGUUCCAGUUUCAAUAAAUCAUGUCUAAUGGGAGAAUUGUGACCUGUUGUUACCAUCAAAGGGUGGGGAUCAAGGUGGCCUUGGUGUAACCUUUCUUUUACCCUUUUCCAUCUCAGCUUGUAGCAGCCAAACCACGCUUUCAUCAAGACAUUGUCUCGGUGUUUUCAUACAGUAUUCUGAUUGGCACACUGAAAAUGUGCUUUUAGCAGAGUAUGAAACUGAAGAUGUUGCCGCAAACUGAGUUGGAGCAUGUUGAGGACUUCAUAUCACACCUGUGCAUCCAGGCAUUUCUGUAUGCCUAUAACUACAAUUACAUUUAAUGGCAUGCAAAUUGCACAUUCGGUAGAAUCUACCCAAAAGCUUGCUAGACUGAAUUCUGAAGCUGUUUUGAAGCUACCUGUCCAUUGUUUGGUCAAACCAGAAUAUAGUAUAAAUAGAAUAUAGACAGUAUAGAAUGAAAGUCGUACCCUUUGGUUAACUUUAUAUGCAUGCUUUAUUAAAAACAUAGGAGUAAAAAUGUAAACCAGGUGAAAUAAUUCUGUCCUAGAGUUCUAGGAGCUGAAACAAGAGCUGCUUCAUUCCACAGAAACAUGAGCCUAAUUCUUACCACAUUCCUAACCUAAGUGUGCAAAAUCAUGUCUUCAGGUGAGUUUCAGAUAUACAGCUAAAUGUCUAGAUACUUAUUUGGUUUUCUUUGUUUUAUUCAAUGUGAUGUGAACUGAUUGCUUGGGACUGGACUUCUACUGGAUGUGAACCUUGCCCUCCAUGUUUUGUAACUGCUGGAUUUUCAAAAGGUUUCUCUUAAGUUGUGAGCUCUGUAGUUCCAUCACCCAUUAAUAUAAAAUGUUUGCAUCAUUAUUUCUAGUUGAAUGAUUCACUUUUUCAGAAGUAAUAAUAACAAAAAUGCUUAAGAGAUUUCAGCAGAAAAGCAAUAGCCUGGAUCCCUCUAGAGGCCAUUUGUAUAACAUUUGGUAGGGAAAAAUAAUUAAACCUGUCUCCCAAUUCUCUGUCCACAAAUAAAGGAAGCUCAUGUUACUGCCUA